GAGGGACCUGGGUCCUAAACAUACAAACACAGCGCUGCGGUCUUUGGGAUUGUACCUCUGUUUACUUCUUCUGGUGGAGAGUGCACCUUACUGCAGCGAUGGCAAAUGGACCUUCUGAACAGCUUUUGUUGCGGUUGUUGACAAGCUGAGAGACACCGAACCGGCAUCUGAAGAAAGAAGCACUUGGACUAACAAGGUUCUGACCAGGCAGUGACCCCCUCGAAGGCCCACAGUACAGCCCCACUGUCCUGCUGCCGCCCUGUUGAUUCAGAAUGUUUCCUCUUUCCUGUUGGAGACUGCUCUGCAUAGAUGGACAGGUGCUGGGGUGGAUCUGCUUGGCUGGACUGGAACAAUUGGAAUUGCAGAUGGAGGGAGAGUUGCAGUUUGAUUGACAGAAAUUUAGAAAUUCUGCAGAAGUUCUGAAACGCUGUAAAUGCCUGAACUGUGGCGCCCAUUUGAGCUCAGAUGUAGGAAAUUUUACUUGGAUCGAUCCUAUAAGUUAGAUUUCUUAUUCUAAAGGUCUGGAAAGCCUCACCAACCCUGAGAUCAGAAUCCAAGAUGGCUGUAUCACACAGUAUUAUUAAAAGCAGCAGUAUUAUAUAGUUUAUUUGGUAACACUUUACAAUAAGGGUCGCAAAUAACAGUAUUUAUGAAAGUAAUACAUAUUGUUAAAUGGUAAACUAAUGUCUGAAUGAACUAUAUGAAUAUAAUGUAUAUUAUUUAAGACAUUAUUUAACGUUGCUUCUGUAAUGGUUAACAUUAUGGUUAUAUUCGGUUGUCUUAACUAAUGUCAAUUAAUAAUUAGUUAGGACGUUCUAUAGUAAGUACUGCUAAUUAAUGUACCCUUAUUGUAAAGUGUUACCAUAUAUUCUACACUUCUUUCCAAUACAGACAUAUAUACACAGAUUGGGCAGAUACUUAUCUUUAUUCCCUCACAUUCUUUACCUCUUUUCUCUCUUUACUCUCUAUUGAUUUUCACAUACAAAGCAAAAAUAUAUUUUUUCUCUAUUCUUUUUCAUAGCUGUUCUGCUUUAUUUGUUGUUGUUCCUUAAUAUUUGUCUAUUUUUUUGCUAUAUUUGAUCUUUUUUCUAUUCUCAUUUUUGUUUUGUUAUCGCUAAUAUAUGAACAAUGACUACAGAAACUAUAACUCUGUAUACAGUACUGCCUAACCUCUAUUCGUUGGAUGUUUGGAUGUACAAUAUACUGCAUAGUGCGAUGAUAUUAGCAAGUUUGGCUAACAAUGCUAACAUAAGCCAAUGCUAAUAGAUCUGUCAUUUCCAGCUUUACUCAACCCUGAUAAAACCCCAUACAAACUGUA